rnacentral:rRNA from 1 species
CGGAGGGUGCAAGCGUUGUUCGGAUUUACUGGGCGUAAAGCGCGCGCAGGUGGGUGGACAAGUCGGAAGUGAAAUCCCAGGGCUCAACCCUGGGGCUGCUCCCGAAACUGUUCGUCUAGGGACUGGUAGAGGCUGGUAGAAUUCCCGGUGUAGUGGUGGAAUGCGUAGAGAUCGGGAAGAAUACCUGUGGCGAAGGCGGCCAGCUGGGCCAGAUCCGACACUGAGGCGCGAAAGCGUGGGGAGCAAACAGGAUUAGAUACCCUGGUAGUCCACGCCGUAAACGAUGGGCACUAGGCGCGGGUGGGAGCAACCCCUUCCGUGCCGCAGCUAACGCGAUAAGUGCCCCGCCUGGGGAGUACGGCCGCAAGGCUG